GGGGGAUUCGUUCAAUGGUAGGACAGCGGUCUCCAAAACCGCUGAUGUGGGUUCGAUUCCUACAUCCCCCG
rnacentral:tRNA from 1 species